rnacentral:snRNA from 1 species
AUCGCUUCUCAGCCUUUUGGCUAAGAUCAAGUGUAGGAACAUCUUCUUUAAUCUUCAAAAUACUCCUGUGAGAUGAAUUCUAUUAUUUUUAUCUUCAUUUCACUCUUAGAUAAGCUAAAGCUUUUCAAAGGUGGUAAA